rfam:Pedobacter africanus strain DSM 12126 genome assembly, contig: Ga0070588_102
AAAAAACUUUAGGGGUGCCUUGCGCUGAGAUAUACCCUUUGAACCUGAUGCAGUUAGUACUGCCGAAGGGAAAAGUAGAAGCAAAUCU